AUACGGAGGGUGCAAGCGUUAUUCGGAAUCACUGGGCGUAAAGGACGCGUAGGCGGGUUGGCAAGUCAGAUGUGAAAUCCUACAGCUUAACUGUAGAACUGCAUUUGAAACUGCUAACCUUGAGUAUGGGAGGGGGAGAUGGAAUUAGUGGUGUAGGGGUAAAAUCCGUAGAUAUCACUAGGAAUACCGAAAGCGAAGGCGAUCUCCUGGAACAUAACUGACGCUAAGGCGUGAAAGCGUGGGGAGCAAACAGGAUUAGAUACCCUAGUAGUCC
rnacentral:rRNA from 1 species